AUGAACGCUGGCGGCGUGCCUCAUCCAUGCCAGUCGCGCGAACAGACGAGGAGCUUGCUCCUCUGACGUUAGCGGCGGACGGGUGAGUAACACGUGGAUAACCUACCUAUAAGACUGGGAUAACUUCGGGAAACCGGAGCUAAUACCGGAUAAUAUAUUGAACCGCAUGGUUCAAUGGUGAAAGACGGUUUUGCUGUCACUUAUAGAUGGAUCCGCGCCGCAUUAGCUAGUUGGUAAGGUAACGGCUUACCAAGGCAACGAUGCGUAGCCGACCUGAGAGGGUGAUCGGCCACACUGGAACUGAGACACGGUCCAGACUCCUACGGGAGGCAGCAGUAGGGAAUCUUCCGCAAUGGGCGAAAGCCUGACGGAGCAACGCCGCGUGAGUGAUGAAGGUCUUCGGAUCGUAAAACUCUGUUAUUAGGGAAGAACAAAUGUGUAAGUAACUAUGCACGUCUUGACGGUACCUAAUCAGAAAGCCACGGCUAACUACGUG
rnacentral:rRNA from 1 species